rnacentral:rRNA from 1 species
UACGUAGGGUGCAAGCGUUGUCCGGAAUUAUUGGGCGUAAAGAGCUCGUAGGCGGUUUGUCGCGUCUGCUGUGAAAACUCGGGGCUUAACUCCGGGCCUGCAGUGGGUACGGGCAGACUAGAGUGCGGUAGGGGAGACUGGAAUUCCUGGUGUAGCGGUGAAAUGCGCAGAUAUCAGGAGGAACACCGGUGGCGAAGGCGGCUCUCUAGUACGGUACUGACGCUGAGACGCGAAAGCGUGGGGAGCGAACAGG